AACGAACGCUGGCGGCAUGCCUAACACAUGCAAGUCGAACGAGACCUUCGGGUCUAGUGGCGCACGGGUGCGUAACGCGUGGGAAUCUGCCCUUGGGUUCGGAAUAACUCAGAGAAAUUUGAGCUAAAACCGGAUGAUGACGAAAGUCCAAAGAUUUAUCGCCCAAGGAUGAGCCCGCGUAAGAUUAGCUUGUUGGUGGGGUAAUGGCCCACCAAGGCGACGAUCUUUAGCUGGUCUGAGAGGAUGAUCAGCCACACUGGGACUGAGACACGGCCCAGACUCCUACGGGAGGCAGCAGUGGGGAAUAUUGGACAAUGGGCGAAAGCCUGAUCCAGCAAUGCCGCGUGAGUGAUGAAGGCCUUAGGGUUGUAAAGCUCUUUUACCAGGGAUGAUAAUGACAGUACCUGGAGAAUAAGCUCCGGCUAACUCCGUGCCAGCCGCCGCGGUAAUAC
rnacentral:rRNA from 1 species